rnacentral:lncRNA from 1 species
AAGUACCUGAUACUUUCCUAUGCAGGAAGCUCAUAUGAACUAAUUAACAUUUAAUGAGAGGAAACCAACUGAUUAGAAUGCUUUUCGUGCUCUGCCACGCUCAAGGGCUUUCUGCAGUAACCUGGCUGAACAGUUUUCCUUCGUUAAUUUGAGGAAAGUUUUGGGCCAAAUUAUUGAGGUCAGUAACAAAGGAAUGUUCUGGAAAGAAGAUUGUGAAAGGGUAUGGAGUCAUCUAAUUCUCUAUGUUCACAUCCUCAACCUUGUAAAAUCCAAUCAAGAUUAUUAA